GAUUAUGGCUCAGGAUGAACGCUGGCGGCGUGCUUAACACAUGCAAGUCGAACGAGAAAGCACCUUCGGGUGUAAGUAGAGUGGCGAACGGGUGAGUAACACGUGAGCAACCUGCCUCUCACUUCGGAAUAACUCAGAGAAAUUUGUGCUAAUACCGAAUACUUCGUAUCUUUCGCAUGAUCGAUACGAGAAAGCCUUGUGCGGUGAGAGAUGGGCUCGCGGCCCAUUAGAUAGUUGGUGGGUAACGGCCUACCAAGUCGACGAUGGGUAGCCGGGUUGAGAGACCGACCGGCCACAUUGGGACUGAGACACGGCCCAGACUCCUACGGGAGGCAGCAGUGGGGAAUUUUGCGCAAUGGGGGGAAAAACCCCCUGACGCAGCAACGCCGCGUGCGGGAUGAAGGCCUUCGGGUUGUAAACCGCUUUCAGUAGGGAAGAAAAUGACGGUACCUACAGAAGAAGCUCCGGCUAACUACGUGCCAGCCGCGGC
rnacentral:rRNA from 1 species